UGAUAGACGAUUGAAUUUUUCAAGGUAUUUUGAAAUGGUUUGAGGUGGGGAGCCUGCCUUGUUCUUUCCUGUUGGGUGUCUCUCCAUGACCAUAUUUAGGAAAGAGCUGAUGUCAUUUUUGAGAAAAUAAUGUCCCCGAGGUUACUGUGGGUCAUGUUAAGGUGAAUUCUUAGAAAAGCACACUCAUCCAGCUUCAUCAGCGUGGUGCAAAGAAAGGGCAAAGAGGACGUGUGGAAAAUACAGUUGUCAAAACUGAAAUAUAUGGCCACAUGAGGAAUGUGUUUGUGACUGAGUGUUCCAGAGGGUAUUUUGGUCGGAGCACGGUUGAAGUUGCUGAGCAUGCCUGAGUGUGUGUAUAGGUCUCAUGUGCCAGUGAAAGUGGGCACAUGUGUUUGACCACAUGCCUCUACGUGUUCCUGUUCAUGUUUGUGUGAUCAUAUCUGCGUGGAAGAAAGUGUGAUUACAUUGUAAGGGGAGUAUUUGUAC
rnacentral:lncRNA from 1 species